UUGCGCUUCGGCACAACUGUUAAAUUUAGAAAAAUACAGAGAAGAUUAGCAUGGCCCCUGCGCAAGGAUGACAC
rnacentral:snRNA from 1 species